GAUGAACGCUGGCGGCGUGCCUAAUACAUGCAAGUCGAGCGAACGGACGAGAAGCUUGCUUCUCUGAUGUUAGCGGCGGACGGGUGAGUAACACGUGGAUAACCUACCUAUAAGACUGGGAUAACUUCGGGAAACCGGAGCUAAUACCGGAUAAUAUUUUGAACCGCAUGGUUCAAAAGUGAAAGACGGUCUUGCUGUCACUUAUAGAUGGAUCCGCGCUGCAUUAGCUAGUUGGUAAGGUAACGGCUUACCAAGGCAACGAUGCAUAGCCGACCUGAGAGGGUGAUCGGCCACACUGGAACUGAGACACGGUCCAGACUCCUACGGAAGGCAGCAGUAGGGAAUCUUCCGCAAUGGGCGAAAGCCUGACGGAGCAACGCCGCGUGAGUGAUGAAGGUCUUCGGAUCGUAAAACUCUGUUAUUAGGGAAGAACAUAUGUGUAAGUAACUGUGCACAUCUUGACGGUACCUAAUCAGAAAGCCACGGCUAACUACGUGCCAGCAGCCGCGGUAAUACGUAGGUGGCAAGCGUUAUCCGGAAUUAUUGGGCGUAAAGCGCGCGUAGGCGGUUUUUUAAGUCUGAUGUGAAAGCCCACGGCUCAACCGUGGAGGGUCAUUGGAAACUGGAAAACUUGAGUGCAGAAGAGGAAAGUGGAAUUCCAUGUGUAGCGGUGAAAUGCGCAGAGAUAUGGAGGAACACCAGUGGCGAAGGCGACUUUCUGGUCUGUAACUGACGCUGAUGUGCGAAAGCGUGGGGAUCAAACAGGAUUAGAUACCCUGGUAGUCCACGCCGUAAACGAUGAGUGCUAAGUGUUAGGGGGUUUCCGCCCCUUAGUGCUGCAGCUAACGCAUUAAGCACUCCGCCUGGGGAGUACGACCGCAAGGUUGAAACUCAAAGGAAUUGACGGGGACCCGCACAAGCGGUGGAGCAUGUGGUUUAAUUCGAAGCAACGCGAAGAACCUUACCAAAUCUUGACAUCCUUUGACAACUCUAGAGAUAGAGCUUUCCCCUUCGGGGGACAAAGUGACAGGUGGUGCAUGGUUGUCGUCAGCUCGUGUCGUGAGAUGUUGGGUUAAGUCCCGCAACGAGCGCAACCCUUAAGCUUAGUUGCCAUCAUUAAGUUGGGCACUCUAAGUUGACUGCCGGUGACAAACCGGAGGAAGGUGGGGAUGACGUCAAAUCAUCAUGCCCCUUAUGAUUUGGGCUACACACGUGCUACAAUGGACAAUACAAAGGGCAGCGAAACCGCGAGGUCAAGCAAAUCCCAUAAAGUUGUUCUCAGUUCGGAUUGUAGUCUGCAACUCGACUACAUGAAGCUGGAAUCGCUAGUAAUCGUAGAUCAGCAUGCUACGGUGAAUACGUUCCCGGGUCU
rnacentral:rRNA from 1 species